UACUAUGACCCCACUAAGGAAGAAAACAAGCCAGUCGGUGGAUUCUCCCUCCGAGGCUGUCUUGUCUCAGCUCUAGAGGACAACGGAGUCCCAGCAGGAGUGAAGGGCAAUGUGCAAGGCAAUCUCUUCAAAAUCAUCACCAAAAAUGACAUUCAUUAUUAUAUCCAGGCCAGCUCCAAGGCUGAGCGAGUGCAGUGGAUUGAGGCAAUCAAACCACUGACAUGAGUAACGUGGACUCCAUGCCAAAUGACAAAUCACAUUUGUGACCAAGUUUUCUGCUCUCAUUUUCUGGGAGUAUUGUUAUCACCUUGAUAGUCUAUUUCUGUUAUUUGAAUUAUCAUAACACUUAGCAAUUCCUGGUAGACCAGCAUCCUAGGUGUCUUAAAGUCAUAUAGACCGAGAAUAAUUCUCCACCAAGAAUUUACCGUCUAACGAAGAGACAAAAGACAAUAGGUGGAUACAGACAAAUGGGGCUUUACAAUGAAAUGAUGAGAUACAAUAUUCCAAGAUAGAAGAAAAGAAUCUUUUGUACAAGUAUUCAGUUUAUACCUGACAGAUCCACAUUGUGCUUUAUCUUAAAGCAGAAAUAUCUUGCUCAUUUCCCCUCUAUAAAGGGGCUCAUAAAUUAAUUAGUUAAGACUGAAACAUCAAAGUCAUGAAAGGUGCUGAUGUCUGAGGCUGCCUUUCUUGGUAUACCACACGAAUCUUGUGCUAAGCCACAAUCCAGCUGCCAGGAUAAUCAGUACUGCAAAACAAACAAGGGAUCUGUCUGUCCAUCCAUCUGCUUUACUGUUUGGCUCUCUGUUAGACUUGAAAAAACCCAAAGCAUCUUCCUCUCCACUGUAUAGAUUGCUCUUGUGCUGCUAAUGAUACCAGAGCAGUACAAGAUCCUGAGUAUCAAAUCAGACCAGUAGCAGUUCCAGACAAUUGCUGGUACUGAAUAUAUUGGAAGAAAUCACUUAGCUAUAAAAGCGAGACUUUUCCUUUGAUUAUCAUCAUAAGUUCAUUUAUGUUGGAGAACCAUUUGGACUGAGAAUUACAGUACCAGAUAUGGCUAUUGCUUUUUCUAUCUUAGGUCAUUAGUUCUUCCAGUAUUUGUCUACUAAACUUGUCUUUGAUAUCAUUAAAUAUUAAAAAAAACCCCAAACCCCAAAACCAGUGCAUUUGAAUAUCCUGUGCUCUUUAGAGACAUGAUUUUUCUCAGAGGGCAGUUUGAAUAUAUGAAAAAUAAUGGUUUCAUUCACUGUAAUUUUAGAUUUAUACAUAAACUGAGACACCAGAGGGUAAAAUGGUAUGUAGGAAAUUAUUAAAACACCUGAUAUACUAUUUUCAUAAAAUUCCUAGUUUUAUCUUAGUACCUGUAUCUGACAGCCAAACUCUUCAGAGCCUUCAAAAGCCCUCUGAAGGCAACAUGCUAUAUCUUCCCUGAAGUCACAGAGGAAUUUGAUAGCUCUCUGUCCACAGUUCCAUCUCUUUGCAGAUUUUAUGUUCUCCAAGUUGUGUACUAAAAAAAAGUCUCAUCACCAAAGGUAGCAUAUGAUAUAUGCUUAUAUAUUUAUUAGAAUAGCCAUGUAUGUAGGACUUUCUUCAAAAGCUACAGCAAUAAAAUAACUGCACAAUGCUUACAUGU